rnacentral:snRNA from 1 species
AGAUGUGAGAACCAUCUGGCUGUGACCAGGGCUGAUCCAGCCAAUCUCAAUGGCUAGGAGGGUGUCCCCUUCCUCCCUCACUGCCUCAUGUGUGACCCUCCUGAAGCUGCGUGCUAGGUCGAAGAGGACAACCUUCCCCGAAAAGUCAGACUGGUCUUUGGUUGAGGAUAUUCGAAUAGUUGCACUCCCCUGCUAGAGCCUCCAAACAAACUCUCAUACUCAGUGGAACAUUAUUUGGCCAUUAAAAAAAAAAAAAAUGACAUUGUGCGUUU